rnacentral:SRP_RNA from 1 species
CAUUGGUGCUCUUGUUUAUGCCGUUGUGUGAACUCGGUCAGGACUGGAAAGAAGCAGCCGUAGCUAAAUUGGUAUAUGCCGGGAUUUUACUAGUGAAG